rnacentral:rRNA from 1 species
GACGAACGCUGGCGGCGUGCUUAACACAUGCAAGUCGAACGAUGAAGCUAGAGCUUGCUCUGGUGGAUUAGUGGCGAACGGGUGAGUAACACGUGAGUAACCUGCCCCGAACUCUGGGAUAACUGCUGGAAACGGUAGCUAAUACCGGAUAUGACCAAUGAAGGCAUCUUCUGUUGGUGGAAAGAAUUUCGGUUCGGGAUGGACUCGCGGCCUAUCAGCUUGUUGGUGAGGUAACGGCUCACCAAGGCGACGACGGGUAGCCGGCCUGAAAGGGUAAUCGGCCACACUUGGACUGAGACACGGACCAGACUCCUACGGGAGGCAGCAGUGGAGAAUAUUGCACAGUGGGCGCAAGCCUGAUGCAGCAACGCCGCGUGAGGGACGACGGCCUUCGGGUUGUAAACCUCUUUUAGUAGGGAAGAAGCGAAAGUGACGGUACCUGCAGAAAAAGCACCGGCUAACUACGUGCCAGCCGCCGCAGUAA